CCGUGGAGCAGUCGGUUGCGCCCCCUCCUCCCCAGGCUCUCCCCAGCCAGAGACCCCCGGUUCCCCAGCUGAAGGCCGUCCGGAGGGGACCCCAGGCCGCGCAAUUGUAGGGGUCGCUCUCGGACAGCAGCGAACCUCCGCGCACCAACUUCUCGCGAGGUUUCGAGCCCCCCUCCACCGCCCCGUCCGCCCUCUCCUAGCUCCGGUGCGGGCAGCUCCCGCUAUGGCUGCGCUGCGGAGGCUUCUGCGGCCGCCGCCGCCUCGGCUCCCGCCUCCGCCCUCGUCUCCCCAUCCCUUCCCUGGGCCGUGCGGGCGGCCUACGGGCAUAGCCCCGGGCCCUCCCGGCCGGCCCUUCUUCUGCCGGGAGGAGGAGGAGGGGGCUGUGGCUGAGGCGGCUCGGAGGCGGCGGCGGCGCUGGGGGGAGCUGAGCAUCGCAGCCGCGGCCGGCGGGGGUCUGGUCGGCCUGGUGUGCUACCAGCUGUAUGGGGACCCCAGGGCCGACUCGGCGCGGGCGCCGGCCCCCUGGCUCCCCUCCAAGAGCGCGGCCGCAGAGCCGGAGGAACCGCCCCGCGGCCGGGGGCUGCUUCCCAUCCCGGUCGCCGCUGCCAAGGAGACGGUUGCUGUUGGCAGAACAGACAUUGAAGACCUAGAUCUCUAUGCAACAUCUCGGGAAAGGCGAUUUCGUUUGUUUGCUUCUGUAGAAUGUGAAGGGCAGUUAUUCAUGACUCCAUAUGAUUUUAUUUUGGCUGUUACAACAGAUGAGCCCAAAUUUGCUAAAACAUGGAAGUCACUUUCCAAGCAGGAAUUAAAUCAAAUGCUAUCAGAAACACCACCAGUUUGGAAAGGAUCAUCAAAGCUAUUUCGAAAUCUUAAAGAAAGAGGUGUGAUUUCUUACACAGAAUAUCUUUUUCUUUUAUGUAUUUUAACAAAGCCACAUGCAGGUUUUAGAAUAGCUUUCAACAUGUUUGACACCGAUGGCAAUGAGAUGGUGGAUAAAAAGGAGUUUUUGGUGCUUCAAGAAAUAUUCAGGAAAAAAAAUGAAAAGAGAGAAACUAAAGGAGAUGAAGAAAAGCGUGCAAUGCUGCGUCUUCAACUUUAUGGAUACCAUUCUCCUACUAAUAGUGUACUUAAAACAGAUGCUGAGGAACUUGUCUCCAGAAGCUAUUGGGAUACACUGAGACGUAAUACAAGCCAAGCACUCUUUUCAGACCUCGCAGAGCGUGCUGAUGACAUUACAAACUUAGUAACAGAUACUACACUUCUUGUACACUUUUUCGGAAAGAAAGGAAAAGCUGAGCUCAACUUUGAAGAUUUUUAUAGAUUCAUGGAUAACCUCCAAACAGAAGUUCUAGAAAUAGAAUUCCUUUCCUACUCUAAUGGGAUGAAUACUAUCAGUGAAGAAGAUUUUGCUCAUAUUCUUUUACGAUACACAAAUGUGGAAAAUACAUCAGUAUUUUUGGAAAAUGUGCGUUAUAAUAUACCUGAAGAAAAGGGCAUUACAUUUGAUGAAUUCAGGUCAUUUUUCCAGUUUUUGAACAACCUAGAAGACUUUGCAAUAGCCUUGAAUAUGUAUAAUUUUGCAAGUCGCUCUAUAGGGCAAGAUGAAUUUAAACGUGCCGUCUAUGUAGCCACUGGCCUCAGACUUUCACCACAUUUAGUGAACACAGUCUUUAAGAUUUUUGAUGUUGACAAAGAUGAUCAAUUAAGCUAUAAAGAAUUCAUUGGAAUUAUGAAAGACAGACUCCAUAGAGGAUUCCGGGGUUAUAAAACAGUUCAGAAGUAUCCCACUUUCAAAUCCUGUCUGAAGAAGGAACUUCAUAGCAGAUAAGUACUUCUAAAGCAAAGUUUAAAGGAUUAUUAUCUACUUGAAAAUGCAGGAAGCAAAAACUUCAGAGGGCGGAAGAAGGUCUGAGAUCAGAACUUGUGUAAAUGAAGGAAAAGGUGUCUCAUAUUAGAGGUUUUUCUCAAAUAUCUGAUCACUUGUCCACCUCCCACUGAUUGAACCAACCAGAAUCCAGAGUGGAAAGAGUCUUCCAAUAAAAGGACAAAAGAGUGUCUUGAACCAGAGCCAGUGUGAGUUUCUACAAACCACUGGGCAAGACAUAUUAAUUCCACCUCCUCCCACAUCUGCCAUACAGAAAAUCCAGCAUGACUAAUCUAGCCUACAGCUUGACAGAAACAGAGCUGAAUAUAACCAAUUAUUCUUCUGGUCCCCCAGUUAUUAUCUGCUCAACCAACACAACAGAAAGCGUCCUGACAGCCACUGGAUGAAGACGGACGAUCCUGUGCUCAAAGACUGGAGUCAUCCCAGAAAAAGGCUGUAUCAAGCACUACUGGAUGAAAAGCUAAACCCAAGAUUUAGCUUUAUGGAUAUGAAUUUGAGUGAAGUAUUGUAAUAUGUUUCUCCCUGCAUAUCCCUUGAAAGUAAUUAUUUGUAUAUAAACCUCAGGUUGAAGAAUCUAUAGUGUGACCUCUUGUCCCUUUAGUAUGGCU